AUGACGAUGGUGGUAGGGAUCGACGAUAGCGAGCACAACUUCUACACGCUGAAGUGGGCGCACUGCAGCACUUCUUCCCGCCGACCAAGCUGCAACACUACUGCCUUGUUGUCGUCACCGCCAAGCCCUCUGUCGCCUCCAUUGUUCGCCCUGUCAGCCCAGGUAUGUGAAUCUCCAAUCCAUGUGAGGAUUCUGAGCUAGACUAGAUGUAGCUUCUGACCUAUAUGAUUAGUUAUAUAUGUAUUGUAAUUGAUCAGUGCAGGCACCGUGGAUGUGCUGUCGUAUGUGGGGAACAGACAGUCAACUUGCAUCUAGGUCUAAAUAAAAUAGUAGUGAUUAAAUCUUUGAAUCUGUAGAUCAAACCAUCUCAAGUAAUUUUAGUUUUGUUAUGAAAAUUUUUAGCUCAGAUGAAAUAAUUGCAUUUUGAUUAUUAAGAUUUAACAUACAUCUGGUUCUAUGAGGAAGGAAAUCAUAAGUGGAGAUUGAAGUUGAUCAACUUGACACUCGAAUAAAAGAAUCAACAAGUAUUGCAAGUGCUGAAAGUUGUGACUGCUCAAGUCCAACUGCUUUAUCGCACAAGUUCUGGUGGAGAUACUUAUUCUGGAAUCUUCAAAAGCAUCAACGUUAGUGUUCAAGGGACUGAUUCUGGACUUUCAACUUAAUGCUUCUCUACCUGUUGUCAUACUGAAGCUACUGCUCCUGGAAGAGCAUCACCAACAUAUCCCUGAUGGCCCUCUCUGCUUCAUGCUCCAAGCACUUGGAUGUUCACCUUGAAAUCUAAUUAUUAAUAGGGACUGACCAAAUACUUCAGCUAAGCAAAAUAGCGACCUCCAUAAAAAAGCAACCU